rnacentral:rRNA from 1 species
AGCGAACGCUGGCGGCAGGCCUAACACAUGCAAGUCGAACGAACCUUUCGGGGUUAGUGGCGGACGGGUGAGUAACACCUGGGAACGUGCCUUUAGGUUCGGAAUAACUCAGGGAAACUUGUGCUAAUACCGAAUGUGCCCUUCGGGGGAAAGAUUUAUCGCCUUUAGAGCGGCCCGCGUCUGAUUAGCUAGUUGGUUGAGGUAAUGGCUCACCAAGGCGACGAUCAGUAGCUGGUCUGAGAGGAUGAUCAGCCACAUUGGGACUGAGACACGGCCCAAACUCCUACGGGAGGCAGAAGUGGGGAAUCUGGCGCAAUGGGCGAAAGCAUGACGCAGCCAUGCCGCGUGAAUGAUGAAGGUCUGAGGAUUGUAAAAUUCUUUCACCGGGGACGAUAAUGACGGUACCCGGAGAAGAAGCCCCGGCUAACUUCGUG